AUGAGAAAAUGGAGAAGGCUCUUGGCAAGGUCUGCCCCAGACACUUCCUCUCUGCAGGGGCUGUGGACCGCGUGCCCCUCUGCCACUGCAGCGUUGGCGGGCACACAGAGCCGCCUCCCAGCAUGGGCCAGUCUGGCUGGAAACUGUAGGAGGGAAUAAGAGAAGGAUCCAUGUGAGUGCGUGGUCAAAAUAGAAGUUGCCGUGGAAAGGCGAGAGAUGAGUCUGCCAGGGAGAGCCUGUCUGGAUGUCGUCAGCUGUGAUGGGCCUACAGGUUGUCACGGACUUGGCGGCUCUCCGGCGCCUGCUGAGCAGUCUUCUAUGUAUAAGAAUCCAGAGCCUGUCGGGAUGAACCAGGGUGUGGGGAGUCAGUGUUAAUGGCACUUGGGAGCUGGGUUCAGCGGGGAGGUUCCUCAGAAGGGUCUGGACUCCAUCACAAUCAUUGCAGAUGGAGUUGGACUCUAGCCAGCGGAGAGGAGGAGUCACAGAAACGCUGUAGGGGCCAGAACAAGCUGAUUUGAGCCCUAGGGAGUUAAAAUUCUUUCUUCCCUCCCUACUCACCUCAGAAAAGUGAUCUGGUACAUUGUGACCAAGCAGGCGAAAAUUCGAUUCAUUAUCAUCAUAAAUGCCUUCAAGAGUUGGUAGACCUAAGAGUGCAUGGUGAAACCCCAUCUCUACUAAAAAAAUACAAAAAAAAAAAAAAAAAACUAGCCGGGCGAGGUGGCGGGCACCUGUAGUCCCAGCUACUCGGGAGGCUGAGGCAGGAGAGUGGGGUAAACCCGGGAGGCGGAGCUUGCAGUGAGCUGAGAUCUGGCCACUGCACUCCAGCCUGGGCGACAGAGCGAGACUCCGUCUCAAAAAAAAAAAAAAAAGAAAAAGAAAAAAAAAGAAUGCAAAAGAAUACUAGAGUCCCUCCACUUCCAAAAAUCUUAAGAGUUGAAAGGGUGAAUACAUGUGCAUAUGGUCAGAGUCGAAACCUACAAGUGCAGGCACGUGAUCAACCCUGUGUAGGCAUAGAUAAGAAUUAAGGAGUGUGUGGAUUACCAGAAUCCAGGGAUUGGGCUGAAGAGCUGGGGAGACAAAUCCUCAUUUUUUUUUUUAAGCCUGUGACACAGAACUUAGGGUGGCCCCUUAGGCCACCACAUCCAGGAGAAAUUCUCUAUCCUAAGCAACCUCAACUGAGGGGUGCAUAACAGCCUCCUUGGGUGCUAAGCAACCCCAGUUAACUGGGAUAAUGGUUUUUCUUUGUGGGUGUACAUUUUUUCACUCCAGGAGAUUUGGGGUUAUGUUAACACAGGCUUAUGGGGAUUAAAACCAUAGUAUUUUAUUUUUCUGUUAUAUGCUUACUUGUGAUGCUAAGAUAAUUUUGCCUAUUAAAGUGAGAAUCUAAUCAUCCUAAUUUAAAAUGUAAUUGAGCAAUUAGAUGUGUGAGUUUACAUUGAAAUCUUACUAAACUUAUGCUCAGUCCUAGAAUAUUUCAGAGCAUUUUAGGUUCACAGUAUAUAUACAUUUAAUUUACUAGCUGUAUGUGAAUUAGUUAUCUCCCCAGGGAGAUUUUGCUCAAAACAGUCAAAUGAGUUAAAAAAGAAAUCCAACAGAUGACUUUAAAGAUGCUAUUAAAGUAUAUCAUACACUCUGACAAGUCCUGAGACAAGCAAGUGAACCAGUAUCCAUGUAACCAGCACCAGACCAAGAUGCCUCACAGUACCUGAACCUGGAAAACCCCUCGGCAGAUCCCUCCUGCAGUCAGUCCCCCUCCAAGGGAAACCACUCACCCCAAACAUUACAUUUAUAAACGCAGUAUAAAUUGUUUGAGAUGUGUUUAGUUAAUUACGUUUCUAAACGCGAUCAAAUAUUCGAAGACUUCUUAGAAGCAACUGCUAAAACCCACUUGAUAUCAACAGAACAAAGAUCUGUAAGCAGACUUAAACACUUAAGAGAGAAUUAGGGUUGUGAAUGUGUCAGUUUAAUAAAUUGAACUCCAGUUAUUUAAACUCAAAGUAAAUGUCUGAGUAGUCUUUUCUGGGCAUAACAACGGCCCAUGGAGACACUAAAAACUCAAAUGAACAUGCAUAUGAACAGUCAUAGUCCAAAGGCGUGAAGAAAUGUUCAUGAAAUGACGCAUCAUGCCUUUAUCUUUCCUUAGACAGAAGGCACAUUUCCAACUCCCAAGGCCACUUUCAAUGCCUUGGGCUUUGCAGAUCAUGCUCUCUUCUUGACACAGCAUGCCUAUAUUGCCUAUAAUUUACUUUAAAAUAUUACAAAUAGACAGUGGGACAUAUUUUGAGUCUAUACUCUAGGAUACUCUAGGAUAGUCAGUUAACGUGAAUAGAAACACUACGUACUCCAUGGAUGGGUGUUUAGCAUUGGAAAGACUCAUCAGAAGCCCACAAUAUACAGGGACAACUAUAAGGGUUUCCAUUGUCUUUAUUUCCAAUCAGUACAAGAGGGCUUGUUCAUUUGCAUAAUGGGUAUAAAAUGAUUUUUCAUGGGUGAUCCAGUAGGAUAAACAAUGCAUAAUUAGCUGGAGAUACAAUAUGGGUACCAUCACUCUUGCAUGAACAGGGUCUUAGAAUGCAGCGGUCCAAUAGGCUACAGAAGUGCUCCACAUUCAGGACACCCUCUAGUCUUGUGCAUGGCCAAUUACUUGACUCCAUAGAAGGUCAGCUGAGUUCUGCACUGGAAUAGUGUUGCCUCUACCCUUCAUUA
rnacentral:lncRNA from 1 species